AAUCAACGCUGGCGGCGUGCCUAACACAUGCAAGUCGAACGCGAAAGCCCCGCAAGGGGUAAGUAGAGUGGCAAACGGGUGAGUAACACGUGGGUGACCUGCCUUCGAGUGGGGGAUAACGUCCCGAAAGGGACGCUAAUACCGCAUGACAUCCUGCUUUUGAAAAAGCGGAGAUCAAAGCUGGGGAUCGCAAGACCUAGCGCUCGAAGAGGGGCCCGCGCCUGAUUAGCUAGUUGGUGAGGUAACGGCUCACCAAGGCGACGAUCAGUAUCCGGCCUGAGAGGGCGGACGGACACACUGGGACUGAGACACGGCCCAGACUCCUACGGGAGGCAGCAGUGGGGAAUUGUUCGCAAUGGGCGCAAGCCCGACGACGCAACGCCGCGUGGAGGACGAAGAUCUUCGGGUCGUAAACUCCUGUCGAGCGGGACGAACGCUUCGCGGAUGAAUAAUCCGCGGAAUUGACGGUACCGCUAAAGGAAGCCCCGGCUAACUCCGUG
rnacentral:rRNA from 1 species